GAGCCUAUAGUAUAAUUGGUUAGUACUCACUGUUGAUAUCGGUGUAGCAGAAGUUCGAAUCUUCUUGGGCUUA
rfam:Trichosporon asahii var. asahii CBS 8904 mitochondrion, complete sequence, whole genome shotgun sequence.